UAGUUUAUUUUAGGAAAAAAUUUAAAUAUCACCUUUGUGGUUUCACACUUUGUCACUUUAGUAAUUUGUGAUUUAAAGUGUAUCAAUUUAAUGUCAUGUGGUUUUAUUUUUAUCUUUGUAUUAUCAAUUCUACUAAUUUUUUUUCGUUAAAUCAGUGACAAAGUUAAGACUAAAGGGUACUAAAGUGAAUAUUCGAUAAAUCUAAGUAAAGUAUCUGAAGUUUUUUGGAUAUAAUUUAACGAAAUAUUAACAAAAAAGUUGACGAAUAAAUAAAAAUAAAACAUAACACUAACUUGAUACACUUUAAACCACAUUGUAGUAAAGGAAGAAAGUGCGAAACCACAUGGGUGGUUUUUAAAGUUUAUUCUUUAUUUUAUUAUAAUAUGGUUUACAAAAUUAUACUUAACUAUUUUGUAAUUUUUUUUUUAUCGUAAAAUAGGAUAGCAAAGGAAAAAAAAUUAAAACCACCCAAUGUUACUAUAUUUAACAAUAAAUU
rnacentral:lncRNA from 1 species